UACGUAGGGUGCAAGCGUUGUCCGGAAUUAUUGGGCGUAAAGAGCUCGUAGGCGGUCUGUCGCGUCGGCUGUGAAAACUCGGGGCUCAACCCCGAGCCUGCAGUCGAUACAGGCAGACUAGAGUGCGGUAGGGGAGACUGGAAUUCCUGGUGUAGCGGUGAAAUGCGCAGAUAUCAGGAGGAACGCCGGUGGCGAAGGCGGGUCUCUGGGCCGUAACUGACGCUGAGGAGCGAAAGCGUGGGGAGCAAACAGG
rnacentral:rRNA from 1 species